ACGCUCGACACCUACGGGAGGCAGCAGUCGGGAAUAUUGCGCAAUGGAGGAAACUCUGACGCAGUGACGCCGCGUAUAGGAAGAAGGUUUUCGGAUUGUAAACUAUUGUCGUUAGGGAAGAAAAAGGACAGUACCUAAGGAGGAAGCUCCGGCUAACUACGUGCCACAGCCGCGGUAAUCUGAGCGGGCUGGGCAAGGC
rnacentral:rRNA from 1 species